UAUCAGAGGGGAACGAACAGUUAGAAAUAGACUGCUAAUACCGCAUAUGCCUUAAUUACCACAUGGUGGAUAGAGGGAAAGGAGCAAUCCGCUGAUAGAUGGGCUUGCGUCUGAUUAGAUAGUUGGUAAGGUAAUGGCUUACCAAGUCGACGAUCAGUAGCCGGACUGAGAGGUUGAACGGCCACAUUGGGACUGAGAUACGGCCCAGACUCCUACGGGAGGCAGCAUG
rnacentral:rRNA from 1 species